GAUGAACGCUGGCGGCGUGCCUAAUACAUGCAAGUCGAGCGAACGGACGAGAAGCUUGCUUCUCUGAUGUUAGCGGCGGACGGGUGAGUAACACGUGGAUAACCUACCUAUAAGACUGGGAUAACUUCGGGAAACCGGAGCUAAUACCGGAUAAUAUUUUGAACCGCAUGGUUCAAAAGUGAAAGACGGUCUUGCUGUCACUUAUAGAUGGAUCCGCGCUGCAUUAGCUAGUUGGUAAGGUAACGGCUUGCCAAGGCAACGAUGCAUAGCCGACCUGAGAGGGUGAUCGGCCACACUGGAACUGAGACACGGUCCAGACUCCUACGGGAGGAAGCAGUAGGGAAUCUUCCGCAAAGGGCGAAAGCCUGACGGAGCAACGCCGCGUGAGUGAUGAAGGUCUUCGGAUCGUAAAACUCUGUUAUUAGGGAAGAACAUAUGUGUAAGUAACUGUGCACAUCUUGACGGUACCUAAUCAGAAAGCCACGGCUAACUACGUG
rnacentral:rRNA from 1 species